ensembl:lncRNA
AGGACUAAACCAGGACUAAACCAGGACUGAACCAGGUCUAAACCAGGUCUAAACUAGGACUGAACCAGGACUAAACCAGGACUAAACCAGGACUAAACCAGGACUAAACCAGGACUGAACCAGGACUAAACCAGGACUAAACCAGGACUGAACCAGGACUAAACCAGGACUAAACCAGGUCUAAACCAGGACUAAACCAGGACUAAACCAGGACUGAACCAGGACUAAACCAGGACUGAACCAGGACUGAACCAGGACUAAACCAGGACUGAACCAGGACUGAACCAGGACUAAACCAGGACUAAACCAGGACUGAACCAGGACUAAACCAGGACUAAACCAGGACUAAACCAGGACUGAACCAGGUCUAAACCAGGACUAAACCAGGACUGAACCAGGACUGAACCAGGACUGAACCAGGACUGAACCAGGUCUAAACCAGGU